CUGAGUUCAAGUCCCAGUACUGGCAGACACAUACAAAAAAAAGAUUCUGGUGGUUGUGCAGGAGCAGGGGGUGAGGGGCAGGCCAUGACUCCCCAAAUGCAGCGGCUGUACUGAAGCACUGAGGCCCAGCUCGCCACACACACCCCCUGCACCCAGGAC